GAUGAAUGCUGGCGGCGUGUCUAAGGCAUGCAAGUCGGAUGGGUUUAGACCCAUGGCAAACGGGAGAGUAACACAUUGGUAAUCUACCUCGAAGACGGGGAUAAUCCGGCGAAAGCUGGAAUAAUACCCGAUGAGAAUGGGGGGACAAAAGUCAUUCCCAUUUAAAGAUUUAUCCCUUCGAGAUGAGCCUAUGUCUCAUCAGCUAGUUGGCGAGGUAAUGGCUCACCAAGGCAAAGACGAGUAGCGGGCGCGAGAGCGUGAUCCGCCUCAGUGGAACUGAGACACUGUCCACACUCCUACGGGAGGCAG
rnacentral:rRNA from 1 species